rnacentral:tRNA from 1 species
GUGGCUGUAGCUCAGUUGGUAGAGCUCCUGAUUGUGGUUCAGGCGGUCGCCGGUUCAAGUCCGGUUAGCCACC